UGCCUACUGAGCUGAUAUCAG
rnacentral:miRNA from 2 species